GACGAACGCUGGCGGCGUGCCUAAUACAUGCAAGUCGAACGCAGUGGGGACGGGUGAGUAACACGUGGGUAACCUCCCAUCAGAGGGGAUAACACUUGGAAACAGGUGCUAAACCGCUACUGAUGGAUGGACCCGCGGUGCAUUAGCUAGUUGGUGAGGUAACGGCUCACCAAGGCCACGAUGCAUAGCGGACCGGAGAGGAUGAUCAGCCAAACUGGGACUGAGACACGGCCCAGACUCCUACGGGAGGAAGCAGUGGGGAAUCUUCGGCAAUGGACGAAAGGCUGACAGAGCCACGCCGCGUGAGUGAAGAAGGUUUUCGGGUCGUAAAACUCUGUUAUUAGAGAAGCGGUAUCUAAACAGAAAGCCACGGCUAACUCCGUGCCAGCAGCCGCGGUAAUUC
rnacentral:rRNA from 1 species